GGUGGUUCUUGGGUGGUGCACCCUGGAAUCGGGCUCCCUCCUCUCAGGUUCCGAGUGCGUCACCCAAGAAUCACA
rfam:Myotis lucifugus cont2.2596, whole genome shotgun sequence.